GACGAACGCUGGCGGCGGGCCUAAUACAUGCAAGUAGAACGAGUGGCGGACGGGUGAGUAAUGUCUGGGAAACUGCCCGAUGGAGGGGGAUAACUACUGGAAACGGUAGCUAAUACCGCAUACCCUCGGAUGUGCCCAGAUGGGAUUAGCUAGUAGGUGGGGUAACGGCUCACCUAGGCGACGAUCCCUAGCUGGUCUGAGAGGAUGACCAGCCACACUGGAACGGAGCCACGGUCCAGACUCCUACGGGAGGCAGCAGUGGGGAAUAUUGCGCAAUGGGCGCAAGCCUGAUGAAGCCAUGCCGCGUGUAUGAAGAAGGCCUUCGGGUUGUAAAGUACUUGCAGCGAGGAGGCGUUACUCGCAGAAGAAGCACCGGCUAACUCCGUGCCAGCCGCCGCGGUAAUAC
rnacentral:rRNA from 1 species